rnacentral:rRNA from 1 species
GAUGAACGCUGGCGGCGUGCCUAAUACAUGCAAGUCGAGCGAAUGGAUUAAGAGCUUGCUCUUAUGAAGUUAGCGGCGGACGGGUGAGUAACACGUGGGUAACCUGCCCUUAAGACUGGGAUAACUCCGGGAAACCGGGGCUAAUACCGGAUAACAUUUUGAACCGCAUGGUUCGAAAUUGAAAGGCGGCUUCGGCUGUCACUUAUGGAUGGACCCGCGUCGCAUUAGCUAGUUGGUGAGGUAACGGCUCACCAAGGCAACGAUGCGUAGCCGACCUGAGAGGGUGAUCGGCCACACUGGGACUGAGACACGGCGCAGACUCCUACGGGAGGUAGCAGUAGGGAAUCUUCCGCAAUGGACGAAAGUCUGACGGAGCAACGCCGCGUGAGUGAUGAAGGCUUUCGGGUCGUAAAACUCUGUUGUUAGGGAAGAACAAGUGCUAGUUGAAUAAGCUGACACCUUGACGGUACCUAACCAGAAAGCCACGGCUAACUACGUGCCAGCCGCCGCCGUAA